rnacentral:lncRNA from 1 species
UUUAUGUAGUUCAUAUGUGUUUUUCGUUUCUCGUUGGUUUUCCCGUUUGAAUGGUUUUACACUAGUAGUUUUGGGGCCCUCUAUAACUUGCUGUUCGGUGUGAGCCAAGGCUCCGUGUUGCAGGUCGUACCUUGACCUAUAAUGGUUUACUUUUAUGAAUUAUUACUUGGGAGGAGAGUUGUCUCAUUGGCACUCAUACCACAUCUUCCUAUAUCUAUCUAUAUCUAUACAUUUUUUUUUUCAACAAAAGAAUACAUCUCAAGAAUAUAAGUUUUGUAAGAAACGUGAGAAAUUGUGUUGGACUUGAAGAUAAGGCAAAGUGACAAAUAUCUGAAAGAAUGAAUCGUUUUAUGGUAUUAAACAAAGAAAUCAAAUGAUUUUUUAAUUAUCCAGAACUCUUCACAAACAAAACCCACAUGUAUACGCAUUGAAUAAAUAGUAGGCCAUUCUUAAAUGAUCACACCGUAGAAGUAGUUGUGCUCUUAAUCAAUGAGAUAUUUUGUGAAUUAACCCCAUCAACUUAAUAGUUUUUUUUACAAUGGAUAAACCUAUUUUUUUUUAUUAUUAUUAAAUAAUAUCAUCUCUGAACAUUAUUAUUCUUAUAAAUGACACGGUUGUAUGUGAUGAUUAUAAUAAAUAUUUAAA